rnacentral:rRNA from 1 species
UACGAAGGGUGCAAGCGUUAAUCGGAAUUACUGGGCGUAAAGCGCACGCAGGCGGCUUGUUAAGUCGGAUGUGAAAGCCCCGGGCUCAACCUGGGAAUUGCAUUCGAUACUGGCAAGCUAGAGUAUGUGAGAGGGGGGUAGAAUUCCAAGUGUAGCGGUGAAAUGCGUAGAGAUUUGGAGGAAUACCAGUGGCGAAGGCGGCCCCCUGGCACACUACUGACGCUCAGGUGCGAAAGCGUGGGGAGCAAACAGG